rnacentral:rRNA from 1 species
GAUGAACGCUAGCUACAGGCUUAACACAUGCAAGUCGAGGGACCGGCGCACGGGUGAGUAAAACGUAUCCAACCUGCCCUUUACUCGGGGAUAGCCUUUCGAAAGAAAGACUAAUACCCGAUAUACAGGAUGGGGAUGCGUUCCUUUAGGUUGUUGGUGAUGUCACGGCUCGCCAAGCCUUCGAUGGAUAGGGGUUCGGAGGGGAAGGGCCCCCACAUUUGAACCGUGGCACGGACCAAACUCCUACGGGAGAGAGCAGUGAGGUAGAUUGGGCAAGGGGCGCUAGCCUUAACCGGCCAAGUGGGGUGAAGGGUGAAGGCUUAUGGAUCGUAAACGUCUUGUAUAUAAGAAUAUGUAGUAUAUGAAUAAGGAUCGGCUAACUCCGUGCCAGCAGCCGCGGUAAUUC